AGUGAACGCUGGCGGUAGGCCUAACACAUGCAAGUCGAACGGCAGCACAGAGGAGCUUGCCCCUUGGGUGGCGAGUGGCGGACGGGUGAGGAAUACAUCGGAAUCUACUCUGUCGUGGGGGAUAACGUAGGGAAACUUACGCUAAUACCGCAUACGACCUACGGGUGAAAGCAGGGGAUCUUCGGACCUUGCGCGAUUGAAUGAGCCGAGUUCGGAUUAGCUAGUUGGCGGGUUAAAGGCCCACCAAGGCGACGAUCCGUAGCUGGUCUGAGAGGAUGAUCAGCCACACUGGAACUGAGACACGGUCCAGACUCCUACGGGAGGCAGCAGUGGGGAAUAUUGGACAAUGGGCGCAAGCCUGAUCCAGCCAUACCGCGUGGGUGAAGAAGGCCUUCGGGUUGUAAAGCCCUUUUGUUGGGAAAGAAAUCCAUCUGGUUAAUACCCGGGUGGGAUGACGGUACCCAAAGAAUAAGCACCGGCUAACUUCGUGCCAGCAGCCGCCGUAA
rnacentral:rRNA from 1 species